AGCAGCCGCGGUAAUUCCAGCUCCAAUAGCGUAUAUUAAAGUUGUUGCAGUUAAAAAGCUCGUAGUUGAAUUUCGGGGUCAGUAGAUUGGUCGUGCCACUGGUAUGUACUGGUCUCACUGGCUCCUCCUUCCUGAUGAACCGUAAUGCCAUUAAUUUGGUGUUGCGGGGAGACUGGACUGUUACUUUGAAAAAAUUAGAGUGUUUAAAGCAGGCUAACGCUUGAAUACAUUAGCAUGGAAUAAUGAAAUAGGACGUUCGAUCUUAUUUUGUUGGUUUCUAAGAUUGACGUAAUGAUUAAUAGGGAUAGUUGGGGGCAUUAGUAUUCAAUUGUCAGAGGUGAAAUUCUUGGAUUUAU
rnacentral:rRNA from 1 species